GAUGAACGCUGGCGGCGUGCCUAAUACAUGCAAGUCGAGCGAACGGACGAGAAGCUUGCUUCUCUGAUGUUAGCGGCGGACGGGUGAGUAACACGUGGAUAACCUACCUAUAAGACUGGGAUAACUUCGGGAAACCGGAGCUAAUACCGGAUAAUAUUUUGAACCGCAUGGUUCAAAAGUGAAAGACGGUCUUGCUGUCACUUAUAGAUGGAUCCGCGCUGCAUUAGCUAGUUGGUAAGGUAACGGCUUACCAAGGCAACGAUGCAUAGCCGACCUGAGAGGGUGAUCGGCCACACUGGAACUGAGACACGGUCCAGACUCCUACGGGAGGCAGCAGUAGGGAAUCUUCCGCAAUGGGCGAAAGCCUGACGGAGCAACGCCGCGUGAGUGAUGAAGGUCUUCGGAUCGUAAAACUCUGUUAUUAGGGAAGAACAUAUGUGUAAGUAACUGUGCACAUCUUGACGGUACCUAAUCAGAAAGCCACGGCUAACUACGUGCCAGCAGCCGCGGUAAUACGUAGGUGGCAAGCGUUAUCCGGAAUUAUUGGGCGUAAAGCGCGCGUAGGCGGUUUUUUAAGUCUGAUGUGAAAGCCCGCGGCUCAACCGUGGAGGGUCAUUGGAAACUGGAAAACUUGAGUGCAGAAGAGGAAAGUGGAAUUCCAUGUGUAGCGGUGAAAUGCGCAGAGAUAUGGAGGAACACCAGUGGCGAAGGCGACUUUCUGGUCUGUAACUGACGCUGAUGUGCGAAAGCGAGGGGAUCAAACAGGAUUAGAUACCCUGGUAGUCCACGCCGUAAACGAUGAGUGCUAAGUGUUAGGGGGUUUCCGCCCCUUAGUGCUGCAGCUAACGCAUUAAGCACUCCGCCUGGGGAGUACGACCGCAAGGUUGAAACUCAAAGGAAUUGACGGGGACCCGCACAAGCGGUGGAGCAUGUGGUUUAAUUCGAAGCAACGCGAAGAACCUUACCAAAUCUUGACAUCCUUUGACAACUCUAGAGAUAGAGCUUUCCCCUUCGGGGGACAAAGUGACAGGUGGUGCAUGGUUGUCGUCAGCUCGUGUCGUGAGAUGUUGGGUUAAGUCCCGCAACGAGCGCAACCCUUAAGCUUAGUUGCCAUCAUUAAGUUGGGCACUCUAAGUUGACUGCCGGUGACAAACCGGAGGAAGGUGGGGAUGACGUCAAAUCAUCAUGCCCCUUAUGAUUUGGGCUACACACGUGCUACAAUGGACAAUACAAAGGGCAGCGAAACCGUGAGGUCAAGCAAAUCCCAUAAAGUUGUUCUCAGUUCGGAUUGUAGUCUGCAACUCGACUACAUGAAGCUGGAAUCGCUAGUAAUCGUAGAUCAGCAUGCUACGGUGAAUACGUUCCCGGGUCU
rnacentral:rRNA from 1 species